CCUACGGGAGGCAGCAGUGGGGAAUAUUGGACAAUGGGCGCAAGCCUGAUCCAGCCAUGCCGCGUGAGUGAUGAAGGCCCUAGGGUUGUAAAGCUCUUUCACCGGUGAAGAUAAUGACGGUAACCGGAGAAGAAGCCCCGGCUAACUUCGUGCCUGCAGCCGCGGUAAUACGAAGGGGGCUAGCGUUGUUCGGAUUUACUGGGCGUAAAGCGCACGUAGGCUGACUAUUAAGUCAGGGGUGAAAUCCCGGGGCUCAACCCCGGAACUGCCUUUGAUACUGGUAGUCUUGAGUUCGAGAGAGGUGAGUGGAAUUCCGAGUGUAGAGGUGAAAUUCGUAGAUAUUCGGAGGAACACCAGGGGCGAAGGCGGCUCACUGGCUCGAUACUGACGCUGAGGUGCGAAAGCGUGGGGAGCAAACAGGAUUAGAUACCCCGGUAGU
rnacentral:rRNA from 1 species